rnacentral:lncRNA from 7 species
AAUGUGAUGGCACAGUGAACCUGUAAUGCAUCCAGAGAGGAAGCAGAGAGCUGCAGCUCAGCAGGGACAGAACGCUGACCGGGAGGGGAUGGGGUCCUGCCCACGUCGGGGAUGGGAGCAGUCCUGACCCUCUGCUCCAGGCACCAGGAGGAGCCCACGACCAGCCUGCCUGCUCAGCCACCAUUUCAAGAGCUUCUCAAGUCAAAGCAGGCCUGGAACACAAAACCUUUGGGUGCCAUGCAGAGAAGCAGCAACACUGAGAGACCCAGAGCUUCCGUGGAAGCCAGCUGUCCCCAAGGCCUGACCCACAGCAGUGCUCAGCACGUGGGGAUGGAAGCUCCCACUGCAGCCGGAGGGACUCCAACAGCCACGGAGCACCUGGUUUGUAUGGCAAACCCACGUCUGUACUGAGAAUGGAGCUUUGUGUCGCUCUGAAAAGGCUGCCCAGCACUUGAAGAUAGCAAAAUGUCUCUCCCUGGUUAGCUGGGGAUCUCCAGCUGCUCUUAGGUGCCUACACACACUCUUCACUUGCCUUCAGUUCUUAUCAGAGCCCGUGCACUCGACUGGGGCUCUGGGAAUGGUGCUGCUGGGGAAUGCUGUGUUCUCAGAGGAAGCAGAACCUGCCUGGAGCCUUUCUUCCUGCACUGUCCGUGCACAAAGAGGCUUCUCAGGAAGAUGAUAAACAUCCUAAGAACCGCUGUGGCUUCUGGAGACGCUCACAUCAGUGUCUUUUCCUUUAAACAUCCUGAGCUGAAGGGCCCUUUGCCUCUGAUGUCAUUCGUGCCCACACAGCCGAAAAUAGCCCUGCUGGAUGCGGGCAGCCACAGGAGGAUGGGCUGCUGGGGGUUAAGGCUGUGACCUGAAUGAGAGCACUGCUGUGUCUCACAGACAGUGGAGUGGAAAUAAAUCUGACCUUGUU